AGCACGCAAAUUGCAGCACGGGAGGGUCGGAGUAUGAGUCCAAAUCAAAGUAUCUGAAACGGAGCACGGAGGACACUUCUCAAAUGCGAUCUCUGUUCGUAAAUAUUUUGAUGCAGAGGCUUCAACGGAAAGUAUUCAAAGAAAUAUGGAGCAAAACCACGUAAUAAAUUAUGCACAUUUUCGUGAAAUCAAUGGCGUCCAUUAUUUGAGCUGAAGCGCGAGAGAAAAUACACUCCCGACUUCGGAAUCAAAUGUUGCCUAUUCACAUCUCAUAAGCUUGACUACAAUAUUUUAUCUUGAUGCCUUAAUAAAUACAUGCUGUGUUAAUUUUGGUAUGGUUACCUGCUUACAAUGCCCACUGUAGUGUGCGUAGGUUGUAAGCCCAUAUAGUAAGUCAAUAGAGCUAACUGGCUAGCUAGUACUGUUAGUUAGCCAGAUAGUCACAAAUAAUUGUUAGCUUGCGACCCAUAAAGAACUGACAUCUACCUUGGAUAAUGUUCGUGUUCGGUCAUUUAUGCCUGUUAUACUAUCUGGUUAGCGAUAUUAAUACGAUUCACAUUUAGCUAGCUGAUAGUUAUGAUGUAAAACGGUUGCUUUGUGUAUAUAUUGUUUCAUCUCUAUCGCCUCUGUCCUGCAGGGAGGUUCAGUGAAUGGGUAUGUCCAUAGUAAGCCAAUAGGGCUGACUGGAUAGCUUGAAGGAAGGUUCAGUGAAUGGGUAUGUCCAUAGUAAGUCAAUAGGGCUGACUGGAUAGCUUGAAGGAAGGUUCAGUGAAUGGGUAUGUCCAUAUUAAGCCAAUAGGGCUGACUGGAUAGCUUGAAGGAAGGUUCAGUGAAUGGGUAUGUCCAUAUUAAGCCAAUAGGGCUGACUGGAUAGAUUGAAGGAAGGUUCAGUGAAUGGGUAUGUCCAUAGUAAGUUAAUAGGGCUGACUGGAUAGCUUGAAGGAAGGUUCAGUGAAUGGGUAUGUCCAUAGUAAGCCAAUAGGGCUGACUGGAUAACUUGAAGGAAGGUUCAGUGAAUGGGUACGUCCAUAGUAAGUCAAUAGGGCUGACUGGAUAGCUUAAAGGAAGGUUCAGUGAAUGGGUAUGUACAUAGUAAGCCAAUGGGCCGACUGGAUAGCUUGAAGGAAGGUUCAGUGAAUGGGUAUGUACAUAGUAAGCCAAUGGGCCGACUGGAUAGCUUGAAGGAAGGUUCAGUGAAUGGGUAUGUCCAUAGUAAGUCAAUAGGGCUGACUGGAUAGCUUGAAGGAAGGUUCAGUGAAUGGGUAUGUCCAUAGUAAGUCAAUAGGGCUGACUGGAUAGCUUGAAGGAAGGUUCAGUGAAUGGGUACGUCCAUAGUAAGCCAAUAGGGCUGACUGGAUAGCUUGAAGGAAGGUUCAGUGAAUGGGUAUGUCCAUAGUAAGCCAAUAGGGCUGACUGGAUAGCUUGAAGGAAGGUUCAGUGAAUGGGUACGUCCAUAGUAAGCCAAUAGGGCUGACUGGAUAGCUUGAAGGAAGGUUCAGUGAAUGGGUAUGUCCAUAUUAAGCCAAUAGGGCUGACUGGAUAGCUUGAAGGAAGGUUCAGUGAAUGGGUAUGUCCAUAGUAAGCCAAUAGGGCUGACUGGAUAGCUUGAAGGAAGGUUCAGUGAAUGGGUAUGUCCAUAGUAAGCCAAUAGGGCUGACUGGAUAGCUUGAAGGAAGGUUCAGUGAAUGGGUACGUCCAUAGUAAGUCAAUAGGGCUGACUGGAUAGCUUGAAGGAAGGUUCAGUGAAUGGGUACGUCCAUAGUAAGUCAAUAGGGCUGACUGGAUAGCUUGAAGGAAGGUUCAGUGAAUGGGUACGUCCAUAGUAAGCCAAUAGGGCUGACUGGAUAGCUUGAAGGAAGGUUCAGUGAAUGGGUAUGUCCAUAGUAAGUCAAUAGGGCUGACUGGAUAGCUUGAAGGAAGGUUCAGUGAAUGGGUAUGUCCAUAGUAAGCCAAUAGGGCUGACUGGAUAGCUUGAAGGAAGGUUCAGUGAAUGGGUACGUCCAUAGUAAGCCAAUAGGGCUGACUGGAUAGCUUGAAGGAAGGUUCAGUGAAUGGGUAUGUCCAUAGUAAGUCAAUAGGGCUGACUGGAUAGCUUGAAGGAAGGUUCAGUGAAUGGGUAUGUCCAUAGUAAGUCAAUAGGGCUGACUGGCUAGCUAGCUAGCUGGCCAUGAAGACUUGCUAAGUAGCUACCAAUAAAUAAUUGACAUCUACUGUACCUUGCAUUUAUGCCUGUUUAACUAGUUAGCUGGCUAUCUAGUUAGCCUGCAACUCAUCCCCCUUGGCGUUUCCUCUGUUUAGUUGCAUUACAACCUGUAAUUUGAAUGGAUUUGCAUUUCCAUUUCAUGUCAUGGACAAACACAAAAUAGUCCAAAUUGGUGAAGUGAUAAAAAUAACUUGUUAAAAUAACCCCCGACCCCCCCAUAAAAUGGAUAAGUGGUGUGUGCAUAUGUAUUCACUCCCUUUGCUAUGAAGCCCCUAAAUAAUAUCCGGUGCAACCAAUUACCUUCAGAAGUCACAGAAUUAGUUAAAUAAAGUCCACCUGUGUGCAAUCUCAGUGUCACAUGAUCUCAGUAUAUGUACAUCUGUUCUGAAAGGCCACAGAGUCUGCAACACCACUAAGCAAGGGGCACCAUGAAGACCAAGGAGCUCUCCAAACAGGUCAGGGACAAAGUUGUGGAGAAGUACAGAUCAGGGUUGGGUUAUAAACAAAAUAUC